rnacentral:rRNA from 1 species
UCGAGGAUCAUUCGCAAUGAGCGAAAGCUUGACGAUGCGACGCUGUGUGAACGAUGAAGGCCUUCGGGUCGUAAAGUUCUUUCGCUUGGGAACAAGAGAUUGCGGUGAAUAACCGUGAAAUUUGAGGGUACCAGGUAAAGAAGCACCGGCUAACUCCGUGCCAGCAGCUGCGGUAAUACGGAGGGUGCAAGCAUUAAUCGGAUUUAUUGGGCGUAAAGGGCGCGUAGGCGGUUAUGUAAGUCAGAUGUGAAAUACCGAAGCUCAACUUCGGUGCUGCAUUUGAAAC